AUCAGGUAGUUUGCAGAUGCGGCUGGUAAUUGAGUCAGCAAAUGGAAUAGUGUCCUUCAUUGCGAGAGUGAUGCAGUUUAAAAAUCGGGAGGGUAUGCUACAGUUGUAUAGGGUGCUGGUGAGGCUUGGUGUGGAGUAGUUUGUACAGUUUUAGUCUCCUCACUUGAGAAAGGAUGUACUUGCACUGGAGGGGGUGCAAAGGAGGUUCACGAGGUUGAUUCCAGAAUUAAAAAUGUUGCUGUAUGGGGAGAGAUUGAGUAGACUAGGAUUGCAGUCACUGGAAUUUAGAAGAAUGAGGGGUGAUCUAAUAGAAACUUUUAAAAUUAUGAAACAAAUGGAUCGGAAAUUGUUUCCACUGAUGGGCGAAAUUCCAACUCGGGGGCACAGCCUCAAAAUAAGUGUGAACAGAUAUAAAACUGAGUUGAGGAUGAGCUUCUUCAUCCAAAGGGUUGUGAAUCUGUGGAAUUCUCUGCCCACUGAAACAGUUGAGGUUCCCUUGUUGAAUGUUUUGAAAGCCAAAACAGAUAGAUCUUUGAACAGGAAAGGAAUUGAGGGUUAUGGUGAAUGGGAGGGUAAGUGGAGCUGAGUCCGCAAAAAAGAUCAGCGGAACGAGCUGGAAGAGACAGAUGGCCUACUCCUGUUUUAUUUCUUAUGUCCGUACGUCCUUAGAUUGCCAUCCUUGUCAUUCCUCCUUCCCUGGAAUAGGCCAGUUCUGAACUGAAGAGUAGGUCUUUCAAUAACUCCCACGUAUCAAAUGUUGACUUGUUCAAUAAAAGCUCCUCCCAAUUAAUACUGCUCAGCUCCUACCUAACACUGAUGUAAUUUUCCCUCCCCCAAUUUCGUCCCUUCCCACAAGGUCCUGAUUAUCCAUGGCUGUCUUAAAAUGUAAGGAGAUGCGAUCGCCCAUUUAAGAAGCUCCUGGUUCGCUGUUUUUCCCAAGUGGGAAUCAGCUACAGGCUUUCUUGUUCCACGAUGGGGGAGGAAAUGGCCUAGUGGUAUUAUUGCUGGACUGUUAAUUCAGAGACUGAGAUAACAUUCUGGGGACCUGUGUUUAAAUUCCAGCACAGCAGAUGGUGGAAUUUGAAUUCAAUAUAAAAGAAAAUCAUGAAUUAAGAAUAUAAUGAUGACCAUGAAUUCAUUGCCAAAUGUCAGAAAAACUCACCUGGUUCACUGAUGUGCUUUAGGGAAGGAAACUGCCACCCUUACAUGAUCUGGCCUACAUGUGACUGCAGACCCACAGCAAUAUGAUUGACUUUGAACUGUCCCCGAGGAAAUUAGGGAUGGACAACAAACACUGCGUAGCUAGGGAUGUCCUCCUCCCAUUAACAAAUAAAUAAAAUUGGAUUCUACAUCUUCCGAUCCAAGAUCGUUUCUUGCUCUCAUACUAAUUUCUUCGCUUACAGUCACUUUCCCUCCUGCCUGUCUUUUUGGAAUGUCGUAUAGCCCUGCGCACUUAGCUCCAGUGUUGAUCUCCUUGUACCCAUGUCUUUGUAAUAGCUAUAAAAUCAUGCCCGUCAACCUAGAAAUGUGCUAUUAAUUUGUUGAUUUUGUUCUGAAUACAAUGAGCACGCAAGCAAAGAGCCAUGAAUUUAGCUUUAUCACUUGAUUUCACCUCUUGACACUAUUUACAGCUGUUUUCUGUUUGUACAUGCUGCCUUUUCCAGUACCACGCUGAGUAUUGUUAUCCCGAUAGUUCUUUCGUCUCAGUCCGUGUGUAUUCCUGGGCGAAUGUGCUCGUGUGGUCUCAGGAGUUGCGGAGGUCACGGCUCUGGGACAGCCGUUUCAUCGCCCUAUGCUGCAGGAAAAAAGCAAUGAAAGUGCCGUUAAUGUUUUGCACGGCGAGCUGCUGCAAACUAACCGGUCUCACACCAUUACCAUCACCUUGCCCUUGUGAAGGCAGAUAUGGAUAAGGUUCUCAAUGCUGAUAGAAGAUUGAAACCACUCUAAUCCUGUGACGAUGAACCUACCCCGGAAGAGAGAGCCCAGAGAAUUGCCAAAGCUGUCCGCAAACAGUCAACAGAAGUGAAGGAAAAUUGGGAGCAAUUGAAAACCCGUGCGAGCAACUGGCAGAAACAGGUGGAAAAGGCGUUGGAGAAACUUCAAGAACUGCAGAAAGCGCUGGAUGAUCUUGAGGCUCAUGUGAUAACAGCUGAGGGGGUCCACACUGAUUGGCAACCUGUGGGUGACCUGCUUAUUGACUCAUUGCAGGAUCACAUUGAUAAAACCACAGGUAAGGACUAUCUGCAAAAUCUGAGAUUGGGUUUUGAAAGACAGCAGCCUUUGUUUUGGAGAGAUAAUGGGAACUGCAGAUGCUGGAGAAUGCGAGAUAACACCGUGUGGAACUGGAUGAAGACAGCAGGCCAAGCAGCAUCUGAGGAGCACAAAAGCUGACGUUUCGGGCCGAGAACCUUCUUCAGAAAAUGGGGAGGGGGUGCGGGUUCUGGAAUAAGUAGGGAGAGAGGGGGAGGCGGAUGGAAGAUGGAUGGAGGAGAAGAUAGGUGGAGAGGAGAGUAUGGGUAGGGAGGCAGGGAGGGGAUAGGUCAGUCUGGGGAGGCCGGACAGGUCAAGGGAGCGGGAUGAGGGGAAAUAGGGGUGCGGCAUGAGGUGGGAGGGGGGAUGGGUGAGAGGAAGAACAGGUUAGGGAGGCAGGGACGAGCUGGGCUGGUUUUGGGAUGCAGUGGGAGGACAGGAGAUUUGGAAGCUUGUGAAAUCCACACUGAUACCAUUGGGCUGCAGGGUUCCCAAGCAGAAUAUGAGUUGCUGUUCCUGCAACCUUGGGGUGGCGUCAUUAUGGCACUGCAGGAGGCCCAGGUUGGACGUGUCCUCUCAGGAAUGGGAGGGGGAGUUGAAAUGGUUCGUGACUGGGAGGUGCAGUUGUUUAUUGCAAACUGAGUGUCGGUGUUCUGAAAAGCGGUCCCCAAGCCUCUGCAUCGUUUCCCCAAUGUAGAGAAAGCCACAACGGGGACAGCGGAUGUUUUGGAUAUUUCUUAAGCAUUGCUUUUCAUUCAGAGUUGGUUCGAUUUUGCUGAAGCAAUAGACAUAACUCACUAUGACGUAGACAAUGUCAGAGUUCAUGUUUCGCGUCCUGUGACCCUUACUCAGAUCUCACUCUUCACUGAUGCUGCCAGACCUGCUGAGCUUUUCGAGCAACUUCUGCUUUUGUUGCUGAUUUACAGUGCCCACAGUUCUUUUGUUUUUUACGACACAGACAAAACUCUAUCUCUGCAGGUAGCAUGAUGCUGUAUUCUUCAACUUCCCUGCCUUUUUGUAAUAGAAUAUUGUCUGUUUAGGACAGAAGUGGCUUUUUUUGUUUGUUUUAACUUCUGCACAUGCUUUCUCUGCAGGCUAAAAGUCUACACCUUUUCAGUUCACUGCAGUGCUGCAUAAUGAAGACUUGGAACAUAUUUUUUAUAAAGUAGAAAAUCAGUGUGGUUUGUUUUCCAAAAUGUGAUGUGUAAGUGCAACACUUAACAGUGUGUUCAUCAAACUAUUGUUUCCUUUGAUCUUUGUGUUGCAGAAAUUUCUAGAAUCAUUUCAAAUAUAUUUUUCUUGAUAUAUUUUAGCAGCUUUCCCGGAGCAAGUCUGUUUUCCUUCGGAUGAGACGACUUUCAGACAUACUCCCUUUAUUAUGAGAUUUAAUUGGGGUAAAAUGAGGAGGAUUUUUAUUCACUGAGACACACAUGACUUUCUGUUUAAAGCAUUGGAAAAAGCAUUCUGUUAGGACUGUCAUGCUAUCUGGUGUUUGUACCAGGCUUCCCAAUUAACUGCAAGUGAUUAAGGAUGCUCAUGGAUGCCACAUGUUAUUACAAGAGGAAAUGAACAUCCAAGUAAGGAUUUUAUACCACAUUUAUACAUAGCAUGGACUAUGCAGCAUGGAUGCAGUGACUGAGUGAAAUGGGAAGCAGUGACUGAGUGAAAUGGGAAGCAGUGACUGAGUGAAAUGGGAAGCAGUGACGGAGGGAAAUGGGAUGCAGUGACGGAGGGAAAUGGGGAUGCAGUGACUGAGACAAAUGGGAUGCACUGACAGAGGGAAAUGAGAUACAGUGCCUCAGUGAAAUGCUCACAGCGAAUUCCCCCUCCAGUUCUGACCUCGUCACAGUGACUUGCCCCCUCCGUCCUGACCCGCUCACAGCGAAUUCCCCCCUCCAUCCUCACCCGCUCACAGUGACUAGCCCCUGCAGUCCUGACUUGCUCACAGCGACUUCUCUCUGCAGUCCUGACCCGCUCAUUGCGACUUGCCCCUCCGUGCUGACCCGCUCACAGUGGCUUGCCCCCUCACUCCUGACCCGCUCACAGCGACUUGCCCCCUCACUCCUGACCUGCUGUCCAUUGAGGAAACGAAGCAGAGGCUUGGGGACCGCUUUGCAGAACACCUCCGCUCGGUUCGCAACAAACACCUACAGCCUCACAGCACUGGGGGCACAGGUUCAAUUCCAGCCUCAGGCAACUGUCUGUGUGGAAUUUGCACCUUGUCCCUGUGUCUGUGUGGGUUUCCUCCAGGUGCUCCGGUCUCCUCCCACCGUCCAAAGAUGUGCACUGUAGGUGGAUUGGCCAUGCUAAAUUGCCCAUAGUGUUCAGGGGCGUGGGUCUGAGUGGGAUGCUCCAAGGUUUGGUGUGCACUUGUUGGGCCAAAGGGCCUGUUUCCACACUGUAGGGAAUCUAAACAAUCCUGUUCCCACAUCUCCAUGUUAUAACCCUGCUGAUCACUGCACACAGAGAUGUUUGGUAACAAAAGGAUAACAAGACUAUUCAAACCCAGUGCUGGAGAUGUAUUUUAAAUGAGUAUUUUAAAUACACUGAGGCCAGUGUCGAUCUCCAAUUCAACUUUUAUUUACAAAUGAACUGUCUUCAACUUUAGCACUGUCUCAUGCAGAGAUAGUUACCAGGGUGUCAGCAUCUCUGACCCUCACACUUCUUAUCUGUCAGCCAGGGCUCCCUGAUUUGGGCUGUUAAUAUGGACCAAUCAGGCAACUCAUAUUCUUUGAGGUCAAACUGGCCGACCUGGUCACAAACCAGCGCAGUGUGUUCAUCGAAAAUCAAACAUGUACGAGAAGGGUAACAUUACAUCCCCCUGUAAAGGAAGGCAUGAGGCCAAACUGGGGAGGGAAAGGGAACUGCUGAUUGGGGGUGGCCCAGAGAGUGGAAGAAAAUCGAAUGGGAAGAAGACCGUUUGAGACUGAGGGAGAGAGAUGUAAUUGCCUGAAUCAGGAAUUCCAUUUGCGAAAUGGAUUUUUGUGUAUACACCAUGUUCAGUUUCCCCGAUCUUCAUCUGUACUCCUCUAAAUCAUUCGUAUCUGAAAUUUCUGUAUCAUUUCCAAAGGUUCUGUCUCUAAUGUUAUGCUGUUGGAAUUGGUUGAACUGCAGAGAUAUCAUUUAUUUGCACAAAUGCGUUCAGUGAAAUGAGCUGCAUGCUGUAUAUGUAUUAUUCUUCCUGAUUCUAUUAUACGCAUACAAAUUCAAGUUAGUUCCA